rnacentral:rRNA from 1 species
UAAGGGCCCAUAAAUUCAAGGUAUGUUAGCAAAUGCUGCUCUAUUGACCCCUAAUAGGCUUAACUGUCUUUAGCGCGUGUCUCUACGAGUUCUUUAAAGCACUGCGCAUGCUGUUGGGUCCUGAAAGCAACGAACGUGACCGCAACGUCUUGUUGCCUCUCUAUAAUAYCUUCUUAUUUUUAAUAAGAGUAUUUACCUGAGGCUAUUUUAAAACUAGACGGACCGCUGUUUCUUUCUUAAACCAGAGGAAGGUUGCGGCAAUAACAGGUCUGUGAUGCCCUUAGAUGUUCCGGGCUGCACACGUGCUACAAUGAUCAGUACAGUGAGCAUCUCAAUUUUAUAACACCGUAUUAAGCGCUUGGGUCGUAAUUGUUAGGCCUUUURGGUUUUUUCAAUUGCGUUUCUCCAAUGCGCACGGUAAAGCCUGCUUCGAGAGUAAGUGGGUAAUCCAUUGGAAGUAAUGAUUUCCUUAUUUUUAUAAACAGCACACCAAUAUACGGCAUUCAUUCCCGAGACGGCUUAGUUCCGACUUUGUGCGAAUGUAAUGUAUUCUUAUCCGUAUGUGCGAUUGUCAAUUCAUGGUGGGGACAGACCAUUGUUAAUUGUUGGUCUCGGUCUUAA